CAAAGCAAGUAAAGCACAAGAACUUGAAACUUUAUUUAAAAGCUUUUUUGUUUAGAGAGAUGGCAUCAAUGAAGGCCACUAGACCAGUUGGGAUCUCUGAUAGUAGUACCAAGGGAGCUGAUGUUAAGGCCCCUUCAGCAUCUAAGCAGGCUCCCAAGAAGACUGAAUCCAAGGCUUCUGAAUCUAAGAAGGCUAAGGGUGGAAAAUCAUCAGCCAAGAAGAAGUGAAAAAGCUGGAGGAAAUUGAGUGAGACAGCUCCAACUUAAAUAAUGUUUAGGGCUUGAACCUUUAAUUUGAUGUUUAUUUCCUUUUAUGUGAUGUUUGGAAGGGAUGAUCAUUAUGAUCUGAACUCAGUGUGGUGUUGUUGAAUGAAAAAAAUAAAUAAAUAAUAAUUUUAAUAGAAAUAAAAAUCUGGUAUUGAAGUAGUA